ensembl:lncRNA
AAUUUGUAUCUCUGUAUAGAAGGCAAUCUGUUGCAAUUUGAUUACUGAAAUUAUUUUAGUAUUUACUACUGUAUAUUUACUUGUUCACAGGACGAUACGAUGUCUGCUUGCCUCGGAGAUCCUGUUCAUCAUGCUCUGCAGAAUGGACUCCCGAGGUGAAGGACCUGCUCAUUUAUCGGUACUGGCCAGCUAGCAACAGCUGCCAGACCCUGUACAAGUUUGAUGUCUUCACCUCUUUUGAACAUAUGAAGGUGACGGCACCAGCCAUGUCCAGGCAGGCCUUCCUGAAAAUGUUGGAGUACAGAUCUGUUCAAGCUGGAAGGACAGGUAGUAUCUGUGCUGAUACAUUUCAGCGAAGCUUUUUUGAGUUUACCUUCUGUCAAUACAAAGAAGAGGAUAUGUGCCAGGUCCAUCAUUUUGAGUGUCCAGCAUGUUCUCCAGACAUGUUGGCUGUCUGCUCUGAUGGGAACCGAAAACAUUACCGCUUCAGCAAGUCAAAAGGGUAGGUAUAGGUAUUUUUCAUAAGUUUAUUUUAGACUUGUCUUACACAAAUAGUAGCUCUUCGGGUUGUCUUUGAGUGAUCAUAACUUACAUUUUAACAAAUAGUAAAUGUAGUACUUGUGAUUUUUAUUACUGACGCAUGUUAUCUUAUCAUGGACAGGACUGAGGAGCCACCCAUAUAUGAGGGCUUGUUCUUGGCCAAGGACGAGGAAGUUGCUACCUUUGUUGACCUUGUCAGAGGCAACAUGAGAAGUGUACGAACAUUUGAUUAUUUUAUUUUUUUAUAAUAGUUGUUUAUACAUAUGUUUUGUGUUUAUAUGUAUCUUAAAAUGUGUUAUAAACUGACUUUAUAGGCAAAUGACAGUGCUGUCUGCUGUACUGCCAAGUUCACCGCUGGCAGAGAGAUGUCAAAAAAGUCUGGUGCUCAGAUAGACGAGGAGGGCAUUCAAGUUGCAGUUUGCAGGUAUGUAUGAGUUUGUGUAUGAUUUUUGAGUCUGAUAUUUGAGUUUUAAUGGUAAUCCAAGUCUUAAGGUCCUUGCACACCGAGUCCGAAAUUUUCACAUGCGUUUUUUCAUAUUCAUGAUUCUGUGGCUCUGAAUUGUCAAAACACCAGUCAAACUGCUUGCUACUGAAAAACGCAGAAAAUCGAACCCGAUUCUUAUGUUUAUGACAGACGAAAGUUUAGGAGGGAGUCUAACCACUAGAUUUUCUUCUGAUUUAUCAGACAUGGGUUUCUCUUACGAGGACUGAACCAUUACCGUGGAGAAAUAUUUGCUUACCCAAUGUUUCUUCAAAGAGAGAUGUCAAAGAAGGCAAAUGUUACCUUCUUCUGUAUGGAUGUUACAUGCAGGUAAUCCUCAUUGUCAUAUUGCAAAUCCAACUCCAUGAUUAAAUUGUCUUGUUUCUCAGCUUUACAGUGAUUUUAGAUUUCAAUUAAAAAUGGAUCUUUGUUACACUCACAUAAUGCUGCUCCUGCUUUUUAGGUACUGGCCCUACCUUAACAAAGUAGCAGAGGGUUUACCAGAGCUUCUGCCAUUGACAGAAAUGAGGCCAUUUCUGAGCGUCAUGCAUGCCAAAGCCCAUACAGCAAAAUGCGAGGUACAUGCAAUAACUUUGUCUGGUAUGGCUGUAGCUAUAGGGAAAUAAUAAUGGGUCGGAUAAUAAAGGAUGCUGUGUGUUAUCUUUCA